rnacentral:misc_RNA from 1 species
GAAAACAGUGGAACUGACUGUAUAAAGCUUCCUUCAUAAUCCAACAACAUAAGAGCAGUAUUUUUUCUAUACUACAUGAAGUUGUCUAGCUUGAUGUUGCACGGCACAAGUGAGGAUUGAACAAUGCCUUUUAUUUUAAUUUCUUUUCUUAGAGUAAAGAUUACACAAGAACUUGCACAUUGCCAAUCGAGAAAAUCUGAUGUAGUUUGAGGAGGAAGAGUAGAC